GUGGGGAGGUGGUGAGUGGUGAGUGGUGAGUGUAGGGAGGUGGUGAGUGUAGGGAUGUGGUGAGUGUAGGGAGGUGGUGAGUGGUGAGUGUAGGGAGGCGGUGAGUGUAGGGAGGUGGUGAGUGUAGGGAGGUGGUGAGUGUAGGGAGGUGGUCAAUGUAGGGAGGUGGUGAGUGGUGAGUGUAGGGAGAUGGUGAGUGUAGGGAGGUGGUGAGUGUAGGGAGGUGGUGAGUGUAGGGAGGUGGUGAGUGGUGAGUGUAGGGAGGUGGUGAGUGUAGGGAGGUGGUGAGUGGUGAGUGGUGAGUGUAGGGAGCUGGUGAGUGUAGGGAGGUGGUGAGUGUAGGGAGGUGGUGAGUGUAGGGAGAUGGUGAGUGUAGGGAGGUGAUGAGUGUAGGGAGGUGGUGAGUGUAGGAGGUGGUCAAUGUAGGGAGGUGGUGAGUGUAGGGAGGUGGUGAGUGGUGAGUGUAGGGAGGUGGUGAGUGUAGGGAGGUGGUGAGUGUAGGGAGGUGGUGAGUGUAGGGAGGUGGUGAGUGGUGAGUGUAGGGAGGUGGUGAGUGGUGAGUGUAGGGAGGUGGUGAGUGGUGAGUGUAGGGAGGUGGUGAGUGUAGGGAGAUGGUGAGUGUAGGGAGAUGGUGAGUGUAGGGAGGUGGUGAGUGUAGGGAGGUGGUGAGUGUAGGGAGGUGGUGAGUGGUGAGUGUAGAGAGGUGGUGAGUGUAGGGAGGUGGUGAGCAUUUCAAAUGCUCUUGGCUUCGGCUGAUAAGAAAGCGGCAGGACUCUAAACUGACCUGUUUUUACAAGGAGCACCUGUGCGCUUAACAAAGGAAUAUAGAAAAAAUAUUUGCGGUAACAAG
ensembl:lncRNA